UACGGAGGGUGCGAGCGUUGUCCGGAAUCACUGGGCGUAAAGCGCACGUAGGCGGAUUGUUAAGUCAGGGGUGAAAUCCUGGAGCUCAACUCCAGAACUGCCUUUGAUACUGGCGAUCUUGAGUCCGGGAGAGGUGAGUGGAACUGCGAGUGUAGAGGUGAAAUUCGUAGAUAUUCGCAAGAACACCAGUGGCGAAGGCGGCUCACUGGCCCGGUACUGACGCUGAGGUGCGAAAGCGUGGGGAGCAA
rnacentral:rRNA from 1 species